UACGUAGGGUGCGAGCGUUAAUCGGAAUUACUGGGCGUAAAGCGUGCGCAGGCGGUUUUGUAAGCCAGAUGUGAAAUCCCCGGGCUUAACCUGGGAAUGGCAUUUGGGACUGCAAGGCUGGAGUUUGGCAGAGGAGACUGGAAUUCCCGGUGUAGCAGUGAAAUGCGUAGAGAUCGGGAGGAACAUCAGUUGCGAAGGCGGCUCUCUGGACCAGCACUGACACUGAGGCACGAAAGCGUGGGGAGCAAACAGG
rnacentral:rRNA from 1 species